CCAAUUUUUUUGUAUUUAAAUCUACUAAUCUUUAUUCUAGAGACCCCUCUCCUUGCUUUUCAGCUUAGAAUGACUUCCCCUAACCGGAGACUUAAUGAACAUACACUUACACUUUCUUUUUUAUCUUACUUUUCCACUCCUCUUUUUCUCUUCCUCCUUCUUCUUUAGCAUGUGCCUGAAGGCCAGCUUUAAGUAAAACAGAACCACUAACCUAGCCCCAAAUCACUUUGGUCUCUUGGGGGUCUUACAGACCAAGAAAUACGUGGGAUUGAGGUGGAUUUUUCUAACACACACUCCCCUCCUUUUCCCUCCUACAUAAAAAGCAGUCCAGUGUUGAACUUCCCAAUAAGUGUAUGUAUAUCUGACAAUUCAUAAACUGCUGAAGUGAAAGGUGGCUUUUAGAUAUUCCGUAUAUAAAUUUAGCCAUUUAUACAGAGGGAAUGAAAAAAAAUGGCCUGAUUCUGAUCAGAUGCUGCUUGUUUCUCCUUACACCACAGGGUUCUGUUCUAUGUCAUUUCCUUUGAAGUCAGUGGGAGCUCUGUGCAGGACGGCAACACGAACACCAGCCUCUAUACAUGAAGGUGAAAUACUUCCUGCCUCCAUGAAAUCCAGCUCCCAAUGAAUUUCUGUUGGUUUAGAGAGCAACUUGAGGAUUUCGCAUUUGGCACCAUUCGAUUUCCUUGGCAGCUCUCCAUAGUCACCAUUUAGAAAGCUCCUGGUCGGUGGGAUUUCUCUCCAUCGUACACUCUGUAGAGAUUAAAAAAGGAUUGUAUUACAUGGGCUUGGAAAUGUGAUGGAAAAUAAAAUUUGCCUUAGCAAAAAUGGAAGCUUUUGAAACUCAAGUUGCUCUAACAGGACCCUCAGACAGGAAUAGUUUUGAGGGGAGUAAAAUGGCAGAUAUGGUGUAAGUUCCUUAUUUAGAUUGCCAUUAAGUAAAUAUCACGAUGUAUAAAAUUGCUCACUCAAAUAAAG
rnacentral:lncRNA from 1 species